rnacentral:rRNA from 1 species
GAUGAACGCUGUCGGCGUGCCUAAUACAUGCAAGUCGAGCGAACGGACGAGAAGCUUGCUUCUCUGAUGUUAGCGGCGGACGGGUGAGUAACACGUGGAUAACCUACCUAUAAGACUGGGAUAACUUCGGGAAACCGGAGCUAAUACCGGAUAAUAUUUUGAACCGCAUGGUUCAAAAGUGAAAGACGGUCUUGCUGUCACUUAUAGAUGGAUCCGCGCUGCAUUAGCUAGUUGGUAAGGUAACGGCUUACCAAGGCAACGAUGCAUAGCCGACCUGAGAGGGUGAUCGGCCACACUGGAACUGAGACACGGUCCAGACUCCUACGGGAGGCAGCAGUAGGGAAUCUUCCGCAAUGGGCGAAAGCCUGACGGAGCAACGCCGCGUGAGUGAUGAAGGUCUUCGGAUCGUAAAACUCUGUUAUUAGGGAAGAACAUAUGUGUAAGUAACUGUGCACAUCUUGACGGUACCUAAUCAGAAAGCCACGGCUAACUACGUG